rnacentral:misc_RNA from 1 species
AAAAUCACUGGAAAAGGGAUUAGUGUGUGUAAAAAAGUGAUGAAUGAUAGUAUUUCUGAAAUGAGAAAAGAGGAAGAUGAGGCAAUAAACAGAAUUACCAAUUCACAAUCUAGACGAGUUCCUUUGACUUUUAGUAUAACUUCUGUUCCUUCACUGAAUAUAAUUGAACUAAUAUUUCUGUAGCUUUAAAGAAAAGAAAAGUUAAUGAUUCUCCUCUUGGUAG